rnacentral:rRNA from 1 species
GCCUAACACAUGCAAGUCGAAUGGUAACAGGAAACAGCUUGCUGUUUCGCUGACGAGUGGCGGACGGGUGAGUAAUGUCUGGGAAACUGCCUGAUGGAGGGGGAUAACUACUGGAAACGGUAGCUAAUACCGCAUAACGUCGCAAGACCAAAGAGGGGGACCUUCGGGCCUCUUGCCAUCAGAUGUGCCCAGAUGGGAUUAGCUAGUAGGUGGGGUAACGGCUCACCUAGGCGACGAUCCCUAGCUGGUCUGAGAGGAUGACCAGCCACACUGGAACUGAGACACGGUCCAGACUCCUACGGGAGGCAGCAGUGGGGAAUAUUGCACAAUGGGCGCAAGCCUGAUGCAGCCAUGCCGCGUGUAUGAAGAAGGCCUUCGGGUUGUAAAGUACUUUCAGCGGGGAGGAAGGGAGUAAAGUUAAUACCUUUGCUCAUUGACGUUACCCGCA